rnacentral:lncRNA from 1 species
ACACCCUUACCCUACCCCACCCUCAACACUCCAUUUUUUCAUGUUCUUCGAACCUCCACACCCAUUUCUUUGUGUAUUAGUGUGUUUCUUUCUUAGCAUUUUUAUUUGUGGAAGAUUGGUUUUUGAAUUUGAAUUCAUUGAGGUCUUUAAUGCUGAUGUUUCUUUGAUUUUUUUAUUCUUUGGCAAAGAAAAGCUGGUUUUGGAUAGAUUUGAGGAGGGUUUUUUAAUUGUAGGGGAAGUGAUUUUGAUUGAAUUUGAGUAUUUGAUGGAAAUGAAAUUAAGCUUUUUCAAUUAGAAUUUUAGUGCAAGUUUCUCUUCCCAAUUUUGGAAGAGCUUGGAAGUAAAGUGAAGAUUAGUUUUCUUCUUCUCAAAUGCUAUUAUUGCUUUUAUUUUUUCACAUCGAAUUGUACAAUUUUAUUUGUGUUUUGGAUUUGAAAUUUUGUGUAUUGAUUUAUUUUUGAGAUCAUAUAUUUGUAUUUAAUCCGUUGUUCGAUUUGCUCAAGUUAAUUCAAGUCAACUUUUCA